ACGCUCGACACCUACGGGAGGCAGCAGUGGGGAAUAUUGCACAAUGGGGGAAACCCUGAUGCAGCGACGCCGCGUGGAGGAAGAAGGUCUUCGGAUUGUAAACUCCUGUUGUUGGGGAAAAAGAGGAUGGUACCCAACAAGGAAGUGACGGCUAACUACGUGCCAACAGCCGCGGUAAUCUGAGCGGGCUGGCAAGGC
rnacentral:rRNA from 1 species